rnacentral:tRNA from 1 species
GCGUCCUUAGCUCAGUUGGAUAGAGCGUUUGGCUUCGAACCAAAAGGCCGGGAGUUCGAGUCUCUCAGGACGCGCCA